GGAGAGUAGGCAAAUAUUGGUUGGUUGCACUUGCCUGCUAAGCAAGUUUACGCCUAAGCGUAAUGAAAGUUCAAUUCUUUUGCUCUCCG
rnacentral:tRNA from 1 species